UGGUUUAUUGAGCAAGGUAGUAGCUCACCUUGACUGCAGCAGUCUCCUCCACAGUGUUAUCGCACUGCUUUGGCCGUUCUACCGCCACUUCCUCCCGGGAAGCGGCAGUAGUAGUAGUAGCCUGUGAAACUUGAGGCAGCAUAUUAGUUUCUAUCGGCCGUGCUGUCACACAAAUGUCAGACUGACGCAGACGUUUGACUUUAUGUAUCAGUUCCGCCUCAAAUAUCUCCUCCACUGCCUGGUCCAAGCGCUGCUCCAGCUCGGCCUCCGACAGGGGCUGCCACUCCCGCUCCGCCAAGUCCAGGACGGCCCUGGCUGCCGACAGAACACACUGGUUGGCGUCCAUUCGCACGAGUAACGACCGACUCCAGAUCUGUUGUCCGCAAGACUAGCCGCUGAGGCGUCGCUUCCCAAAUGUUCCCUCCCUCGUACCCUCCCUCGCUCAAACCGGUGCAAACCCCCACUCCUGCCUCUCCCUCACUGUACGGCCGGCUCGUUGGCUGUGCUGCCCGAGUCCUGCGGCUUCAUGACGUCGGGGAGCUCAGGGGGUGUGGAGAACGGCUCGAUGCUCAGCUGCUCAAAUGAAUCAUCUGCAGGAAGACACACGUACGCACAUGAGACUCUCGAGGGGUCUGAAUACUCGCUAUAUAUAGCAGCAAAGCUGGCAACACGGAUCCCUCCUGCUACAGCUUCUUAUUCUCUAGCAGACCAGAAUGUGCUGCCAGCCACAAAUGGCCCCUGGGCCACACCUUGGACACCCCAGAUAUAAAUGCUAUGAAGACAUCAAAAAGGCUUCUUGGAGAUGUGCUGCACGGAAACGACGUUUCUGACGUCUUUGUGUAAACUGUAAUGAGCAGCGCGCCUCCUUUGUUGAAAAGAUCCAGGUACAGCCUCCCUGUUCCAGUUUCCAUUUUUCAAAAAUCGACUCGCGACAAAUCUCGUCAAGAGACUUUUGGAGAGUCGGACAAGAAAGCACACGUCGGCUCUGUCUCGUUUGUGACAUUAAAAAAACGACAAAAAG